GAGUUUGAUCAUGGCUCAGAUUGAACGCUGGCGGCAUGCCUUACACAUGCAAGUCGAACGGCAGCAUGAUCUAGCUUGCUAGAUUGAUGGCGAGUGGCGAACGGGUGAGUAAUACAUCGGAACGUGCCCUGUAGUGGGGGAUAACUAGUCGAAAGAUUAGCUAAUACCGCAUACGACCUGAGGGUGAAAGUGGGGGACCGCAAGGCCUCAUGCUAUAGGAGCGGCCGAUGUCUGAUUAGCUAGUUGGUGGGGUAAAGGCCCACCAAGGCGACGAUCAGUAGCUGGUCUGAGAGGACGAUCAGCCACACUGGGACUGAGACACGGCCCAGACUCCUACGGGAGGCAGCAGUGGGGAAUUUUGGACAAUGGGGGCAACCCUGAUCCAGCAAUGCCGCGUGUGUGAAGAAGGCCUUCGGGUUGUAAAGCACUUUUGUCCGGAAAGAAAUCGCACUUACUAAUAUUAGGUGUGGAUGACGGUACCGGAAGAAUAAGGACCGGCUAACUACGUGCCAGCAGCCGCGGUAAUACGUAGGGUCCAAGCGUUAAUCGGAAUUACUGGGCGUAAAGCGUGCGCAGGCGGUUGUGCAAGACCGAUGUGAAAUCCCCGGGCUUAACCUGGGAAUUGCAUUGGUGACUGCACGGCUAGAGUGUGUCAGAGGGGGGUAGAAUUCCACGUGUAGCAGUGAAAUGCGUAGAGAUGUGGAGGAAUACCGAUGGCGAAGGCAGCCCCCUGGGAUAACACUGACGCUCAUGCACGAAAGCGUGGGGAGCAAACAGGAUUAGAUACCCUGGUAGUCCACGCCCUAAACGAUGUCAACUAGUUGUUGGGGAUUCAUUUCCUCAGUAACGUAGCUAACGCGUGAAGUUGACCGCCUGGGGAGUACGGUCGCAAGAUUAAAACUCAAAGGAAUUGACGGGGACCCGCACAAGCGGUGGAUGAUGUGGAUUAAUUCGAUGCAACGCGAAAAACCUUACCUACCCUUGACAUGCCACUAACGAAGCAGAGAUGCAUUAGGUGCUCGAAAGAGAAAGUGGACACAGGUGCUGCAUGGCUGUCGUCAGCUCGUGUCGUGAGAUGUUGGGUUAAGUCCCGCAACGAGCGCAACCCUUGUCUCUAGUUGCUACGAAAGGGCACUCUAGAGAGACUGCCGGUGACAAACCGGAGGAAGGUGGGGAUGACGUCAAGUCCUCAUGGCCCUUAUGGGUAGGGCUUCACACGUCAUACAAUGGUGCAUACAGAGGGUUGCCAAGCCGCGAGGUGGAGCUAAUCCCAGAAAAUGCAUCGUAGUCCGGAUCGUAGUCCGCAACUCGACUACGUGAAGCUGGAAUCGCUAGUAAUCGCGGAUCAGCAUGCCGCGGUGAAUACGU
rnacentral:rRNA from 1 species